rnacentral:rRNA from 1 species
GGCCUAUUCAAAUUGUCGUUUUCCUAUAAGGGACUAGUCCUGAAUUGUCCCUUGUGCCAGCAGCCGCGGUAAUUCCAGCUCCAAUAGCGUAUAUUAAAGUUGUUGCAGUUAAAAAGCUCGUAGUUGAACCUUGGGCCUGGCUGGCCGGUCCGCCUCACCGCGUGCACUGGUCCGGCCGGGCCUUUCCUCCUGGGGAGCCGCAUGCCCUUCACUGGGUGUGUCGGGGAACCAGGACUUUUACUUUGAAAAAAUUAGAGUGUUCAAAGCAGGCCUAUGCUCGAAUACAUUAACAUGGAAUAAUAGAAUAGGACGUGUGGUUCUAUUUUGUUGGUUUCUAGGACCGCCGUAAUGAUUAAUAGGGAUAGUCGGGGGCAUCAGUAUUCAAUUGUCAGAGGUGAAAUUCUUGGAUUUAUUGAAGACUAACUACUGCGAAAGCAUUUGCCAAGGAUGUUUUCAUUAAUCAAUGAACGAAAGUUAGGGGAUCGAAGGCGAUCAGAUACCGUCGUAGUCUUAACCAUAAACUAUGCCGACUAGGGAUCGGGCGAUGUUAUCUUUUUGACUCGCUCGGCACCUUACGAGAAAUCAAAGUUUUUGGGUUCUGGGGGGAGUAUGGUCGCAAGGCUGACACUUAAAGAAAUUGACGGAAGGGCACCACCAGGAGUGGAGCCUGCGGCUUAAUUUGACUCAACACGGGGAAACCCACCAUGUCCAGACACAAUAAGGAUUGACAGAUUGAGAGCUCUUUCUUGAUUUUGUGGGUGGUGGUGCAUGGCCGUUCUAGUUGGUGGAGUGAUUUGUCUGCUUAAUUGCGAUAUCGAUCGAGACGUCACCUGCUAACUAGCCAGCUAGCUGUGGCUGUCGCUGGCUUCUUAAAGGACCUAUCGGCUCAAGCCGAUUG